AGGGUAACCCAGAAGCUCAGUAUGUAAAGGGGAAAGUCUCCGGCUGAGAAUGGACUAGGUGUGGGGCGGGAGGUCCUGGAAUCCCGCCUUUCUAGCUUCUCUUUGCCCCUGUGGUCUUGGAAGACGGGCUUGAGAAACCCCGGGGCUCUGGGGAAAACUUCAGCAGCAGAACACUUCAUUUUUUUUUCUUUCUCUGCCAGUCCACUAAAAGUUAUUAUUCUUUUCCCCCUGAAUCUUCUCGUCUUACCCACUUCAAACACAUUUCUUCUUAUUAAUGCCGCUUUGGCAGGAGCUGAUGCCACACUUAAUGGCCGAGCUGCCUUGGCUGACCUCGAUCUCGUUAUCCCGACCCGACGGGUACAGAAACAGGGACUUGGAGAGGGUAAAGGGACAGGAAGUGACAGACCCGGGAUCUGACACCAGAUCUCUCUGUAUGAUCCAGAACUCACGCUCUUCUUUGGACCCUGAUACUCGACUUCCAGAGUGGAGGAGUGGUCUGUACUUUUGAAAGUUGCUCUGCAUCUUUCGAUGUUUCCUCCCAGGAGGCGAAAUGAUGCGAUCAGCCCGGAUGAAGUGGGAAUCGUGAUUUCGGCGGACUCGACGGCCAGUCACAUUAGGAAAUGCCCCUUCACACUGAGAAACUGUCUAUGAAGAGAAGGCUCUACGUUUGGCAGUGAGGUUGUUCUCUUACCAUUACCCUGUCCCCCCUUUUUACUCAAGAUUAUUUGGCUGCAAGGGGAAGCAAUAUAAUAAAAAUAUCAGUCAGUCUCUG